AUAGUACUCCCUCUGUCCGGAAAUACUUGUCAUUGAAAUGGAUGUAUCUAGAUGUAUUUUAGUUCUAGAUACAUCCAUUUUCAUCCAUUUUGAUGACAAGUAAUUUCGGACGGAGGGAGUAAUUG
rnacentral:pre_miRNA from 1 species